AUGCAUCCCACUGCAGCAUCGGUAAGAGAAGGGUUGGCCACUCCCACAGCCCAUCUUGUGUUCCUGCAACCCACCAGACCCCUGCAUCCAGCCACCCUAUACCCCAUCCCUCCUCCACUCUGCUUCUGCACCCGAGUGCUCUUGCACCAUGCAUCUCCCAUGCCUCACCCCACUCCUGCUGUUCUCCAUCCCCAGUCCGCCCAGCUCCUCCUGAUGAAGUUGUGCUGGGAUGUCCCCUGCUGGCUGCGGGGCUGCCUGCUCCCUGCUGCUCCCUGCUGCAGCUUGCCUGCUCCUUACUGCUCCCUGCCUGCACUCUGCCUGCUCCCUGCUGCUCCGUCCUGCACCCUGUCUGCGUCCUGCUGUUCCCUGCAGCUCCCGGUCUGUACCCUCGUGCUCGCUGCUGCACCCUGCCUGCUGCCUGCCUCCACCGUGCUGCUCCCUGCAGACACCCUACUGCUCCUUGUCUGCACCCUGCCUGCCCACUGCUGUUCUCUACUGCUCCCUGCAUGCACCUUGCCUACUCCUUGCUGUUGCCUGCUGCUCCUUCCCUGCAUUUUGCCUGCCCCCUGCUGCUCCCUGCCUUCUUCCUGCUGCUCCUUGUCUGCCCCCUGCUGUUCCCUGCACUAUUGCCUGCUCUCUCCCUGCUCCUUCCUGCCUCUCUCCUGCUGCACCCUGUUACUCCCUCCUGCACCCCGCGUGCUUCCUGCUGCUCCAUGCUGCUCCUUACUGCUCCUUGCCUGCACCCUGCUUAACCCAGCCUUCAUCCCACUGCUCCCUGCUGCACCCUGGUGUUCCUUGCCUGCAACCUGCUGCUCCCUGCUGCACUUGGUCUGUACCCAGCUGCACCCUGCUGCACUUUGUCUGUACCCAGCUGCACCCUGCUGCUCCCUGCCUCCAGCCUUUUGCUUCCUGCUGCGCCCUGCUGCACCCUGCAGCAUCCUUCUGCUCUCUGCAGCUCCCCGCUGCUCCCUGUUGCUCCCUGCUGCAUUCUGCUGCUCCCUGCUGCACCCAGCUGCUCCCUACUGCUCUGUGUGCACCUAG
rnacentral:lncRNA from 1 species